rnacentral:lncRNA from 1 species
AUGCACACCAUUGCAUGUUGCUCGUUGCACGGUGCUGCACACAACGUCAGCGCACAUUGCUCCUCAGCUCCUGGUGCACCGCGCUGCACGGUGCUCGUUGCACGGAGCUGCUCAGCACUUUGCAGUUUCCUGCUCUGUCGCCACUUCCCGGUGGUUUAUCAGCACCCACAGCCGCUGCUGGAGCCCUGCACGUGGCCGUGCACACGCGUGAGGAUCGCACGUUGGCGCAUGCACAAGUGUGAGCACGAGCAGCCGUGCACCUGCACAAGGGUUUGCACGCGUCCUGCAGCUUUGCGACAGCAUGAGCACCUGUGCAUGGAAUGCGAGCAGCUGCGUGCACGGUGCAAGCGUGCAGAAGUGCAGGCAUCCGUGCAACAGCAUGAGCAGGGGUGUGCUGUCCCCAAGCUGUCCCAAAAUUGUCCCCAAACUGACCCCACGUUGUCCCCCACCUGUCCCCAACUUGUCCUCAAGCUAUCUCCAUGCUAUCCCCAAGUUGUCCCCAUGCUCUCUCCAUGUCAUCUCCCUGUUGUCCCCAAGUGGCCCCCAUGCUGGCUCCAAACUGUCCCCAGAUUGUCCCCACGUUGUCCCCAAGUCGUCCCCAAGCUGCCUCCAUGCUGUCCUCGCACUGUCCCCAAGUUGUCCCCAAGCUAUCCCCAUGCUGUCCCCAAGGGGUCCCAAAAUUGUCCCCAAACUGUCCCCAAGUGGUCCACAACUUGUCCCCAUGUCAUCCCCCAGCUGUCCCCAACUUGUCCCCAUGCUAUCCCCAAUUUGUCCCCACGCUGUCCCCAUGUUGCCUCCCUGUUGUCCCCAACUUGUCCUCAAGCUGAAGCCACUCUGGACCCACAAGGCCAGCGGUGCCCCCCGUGUUCCUGGGGACAGGGACCCCCCCGCAGCCCUGGGGACAUUCCCAGUCUCGGUGACGCUCGCAGGGCCACCGAUGUCCCCAAGAGCAGAGUGACACGAUGGCACCUCGACGGCAUCCUCACAGCGGAGGGAGCACGGAGAGACCCCCCCCAGAAUUCCCCCUUUUUUUUG